rnacentral:tRNA from 1 species
GGUUUAAUAGUUUAAAAAAAAACUUUAACCUUGUAAGUUAAUAAUGAAAUAUUUUUCUUAAACCU